AGUUGGGCUGCACAGUGGCGUAGUGGUUAGCACUUUCGCCUUGCAGCGAGAAGGUCCCUGGUUCGCGUCCCGGCUUUCCCGGGAUCUUUCUGCAUGGAGUUUGCAUGUUCUCCCUGUGCAUGCGUGGGUUUUCUCCGGGUACUCCGGCUUCCUCCCACAGUCCAAAAAUAUGCUGAGGUUAAUUGAUCAUUCUAAAUUGCCCGUAGGUGUGAAUGUGUGAGUGCUUGUUUGUCUGUAUAUGUAGCCCUGCGACAGACUGGCGACCUGUCUAGGGUGUCCCCUGCCUUCGCCCGAGUCAGCUGGGAUAGACUCCAGCCCCCCCUCCGUGACCCUAGUGAGGAUUAAGCGGUGCAGAGAUAAUGGAUGGAUGGAUAAUGGAAUUCUGGAGUUUGCCCUUCAGUCAGAUUGUGUAUGUACACAGACAUGAAAGUUGAUUUAUGUGUUACUGAAUUAUUUUAUUCCUCUUUCAGCAAAGAUCAAAUAUAUCAAUAAAGCUGCACAUUCAUUGUAGGAAUAGCAGGUUUGUCUGACUACUCUGUGGUUGUAAGGGCUUGGUGUUACCUGGAAGUGACAUCAGCUCAUGCCUUGUGAUGUAUCAUGAAUCUGAAAUUGUAGGCCUCUUUACACAGUUUUAUGCUUCAGCUGUCGUCUUUUUAUACACUGCGGAGGAUGAGGUCUCACUUUAUCUUUGCUCUUGUUUUCCAGAUGGUGGCUCAGACCUCUCAUCAGAAUUGGAUGUUGUUGCAGUAGAUCAGAGUCCAGGAACAAGACAGAAAUGCUCACAGAAGAAGAAGAAGAAGAGAGGGAAACAGAAUAAGACUGUGGAAGAGGGUGUGCUGAAGAAACCUGUUUUAAAGGUGAAGAGACCAUGGAGUGACGCUGAAAGGAGUGCGACGAGUUCCAGGGAAAGAGCCCUGUCUACAAUGUCUUAAAAAGGAGAGCGCCUUGGAUGGAAGAUCCUGGAAGGACAUAAAGAACUUUGUGUACAACACAAUAGUCGCUUUGAACUGCAGGUCUGCUAGGAAGCAACUUGCACUUUGAAGAUCUUCAAUGUACAGUACAAUACAUGUUCUAGUUAUCAAUUUAAUAAUUAGCACUUUCAUGCUUGUUGAUGCUGUUUGGAUUGUUCUGCAUUGUUGUAGUUCAUGGCGCUAAGGUGCUUGAAUGUGCAAUUAACAUUUAUUUACAGUCAGGCAAUUUCAAAAUGUUCACACAUAUUAUACAACAAAUGCUUAAUGAAGAAAGCAUUUCCAAGGCGAUAUCUUUGGAUUUAUUUUGUCAAAGUUUAAUGGCAUGGGAUGAAUUAAAGCAGCAGCUGAGUUUGAACUGGCUGAAAUAAAUAAAUACGGUGCUGGUCACUGGAAUUGGCACAAGUA